UACAGAGGGUGCAAGCGUUAAUCGGAUUUACUGGGCGUAAAGCGCGCGUAGGUGGUUUGAUCAGUCGGAUGUGAAAGCCCCGGGCUUAACCUGGGAAUUGCAUUCGAUACUGUCUGACUAGAGUUUAGUAGAGGAAGGUAGAAUUCCAGGUGUAGCGGUGAAAUGCGUAGAUAUCUGGAGGAAUACCAGUGGCGAAGGCGGCCUUCUGGACUAAAACUGACACUGAGGUGCGAAAGCGUGGGUAGCAAACAGG
rnacentral:rRNA from 1 species